rnacentral:piRNA from 1 species
GGAGCUAUGUACCUUCUUGCAGGGAGUC